UCACUGGGUGUAUGAAGAUUGU
rnacentral:miRNA from 1 species